rnacentral:misc_RNA from 1 species
AAGUCGUAACAAGGUUUCCGUAGGUGAACCUGCGGAAGGAUCAUUAUUGAAUGAACAUGGAGUUGGUUGUUGCUGGCCCCUUAAUUGGGGCAUGUGCACACCUCCUCUAUUCAUCCACACACACCUGUGAACUUGUGAGACGGAUAGUAGCCCUCUAGGGGGCGAGGUCCGUCUGCUAUACAUAAACUCCAGUAUAUAAAUUCGAAUGUCAUUUGAUGUAACACAUCUAUAAACUAAGUUUCAACAACGGAUCUCUUGGCUCUC